rnacentral:RNase_P_RNA from 2 species
CGAGUCGGCCGGGCGGCCGCGAUGAGCGGAACGGCGCAGUGCGUACGCCGCUUGUCGAGGAAAGUCCGGACUCCACUGAGCAGGGUGGUUGUUAACGGCAACCCGGGGUAACCCGCGGGAUUAGUGCCACAGAGAAUAGACCGCCGCGCCUGGCGCGGUAAGGGUGAAACGGUGCGGUAAGAGCGCACCAGCGCCGCGGGUGACCGCAGCGGCUAGGUAAACCCCACCCGGAGCAAGGUCGAAGUUCGCACCCGGUUUCCGGUGUGCGGAUGCGCGGGUGUUUGAGGGCUGCUCGCCCGAGCCCGCGGGUGGACCGCUCGAGGUACCCGGCAACGGUGUGCCCAGAUGGAUGGUCGCCCACGGUCAUAACUGACCGGGACAAAAUCCGGCUUACAGGCCGACUCGUUCG